rnacentral:rRNA from 1 species
AUUGAACGCUGGCGGCAGGCCUAACACAUGCAAGUCGAGCGGAGCGGCGGACGGGUGAGUAAUGUAUGGGGAUCUGCCUGGUAGUGGGGGAUAACGUCCGGAAACGGGCGCUAAUACCGCAUACUAUCAGAUGAGCCUAGGUCGGAUUAGCUAGUUGGUGGGGUAAAGGAUCACCUAGGCGCCGAUCUCUAGCUGGUCUGAGAGGAUGAUCAGCGACAGUGGGACUGCGAAACGGCCCAGACACCUACGGGAGGCAGCAGUGGGGAAUAUUGAACAAUGGGCGCAAGACUGAUGCAGCCAUGCCGCGUGUAUGAAGAAGGCCUUAGGGUUGUAAAGUACUUUCGCUAGCGAACGGGUAGGUGGAGAAGAAGCGCCGGCUAACUACGUGCCAGCCGCCGCGGUAAUUC